rnacentral:rRNA from 1 species
GCCUUAUGUGCCUCUGAGCAAUCAUUGGGUUAGAUCUGCUCUCUUCGCAAGAAGAGGGUUUCCAUACACACCGUGAACUGUGGCUUCGGCCAUCACAAACUGUUAGUAAUGAAUGUAAUAUCAUAACAAAAACAAAACUUUUAACAACGGAUCUCUUGGCUCUCGCAUCGAUGAAGAACGCAGCGAAAUGCGAUAAGUAAUGUGAAUUGCAGAAUUCAGUGAAUCAUCGAAUCUUUGAACGCACCUUGCGCCCUUUGGUAUUCCGAAGGGCAUGCCUGUUUGAGUGUCAUGAAACCUCACCCCACUUGGGUUUUUGCCUGAGCGGUGGUGUAUUGGGUGUUGCCUUGCUAAAGGCUCGCCUUAAAGACAUAAGCACCUUGGAUGUAAUACGUUUCAUCCUUCUGGGUGGCUGAUAACCCCACAUAUUCAUGAUCUGGCCUCAAAUCAGGUAGGGCUACCCGCUGAACUUAAGCAUAUCAUAGCGGGGGAGGAAAGAUCAUUAAUAGUGCCCUCUGAUGCAAAUCAUUGGGAUAGAUCUGCUCUCUUCCAAGAAGAGGGGUUCCAUACACACCGCGAACUGUGGCUUCUGCAUCCCAACUGUUAGUAAUGAAUGUAAUAUCAUAACAAAAACAAAACUUUUAACAACGGAUCUCUUGGCUCUCGCAUCUAUUAUAACGCGCGGAAUGCCAUAAGUAAUGUGAAUGCAGGAUUCACGAAUCAUCGAAUCUUUGACGCACCUUGCGCUUUGUAUUCGAAGGGAUGCUGUUUGAGUGUCAUGAAACUCACCCCUUGGGUUUUGCUGAGCGGUGGUGUAUUGGGUGUGCUGCUAAAGUCGCUUAAGACUAGACUUGAUGUAUACGUCAUCUCUGGUGGCUGAUACCAAUAUCAUGAUCUGGCUCAAUCAGUAGGCUACCCUGACUAGCAAUCAUAAGGGGAGGAA